rnacentral:rRNA from 1 species
UGGGGAAUCUUGGACAAUGGGGGCAACCCUGAUCCAGCCAUGCCGCGUGAGUGAUGAAGGCCCUAGGGUUGUAAAGCUCUUUCGCCGGUGAAGAUAAUGACGGUAACCGGUAAAGAAGCCCCGGCUAACUUCGUGCCAGCAGCCGCGGUAAUACGGAGGGUGCGAGCGUUAAUCGGAAUUACUGGGCGUAAAGCGCGCGUAGGUGGUUGUGUAAGUCGGAUGUGAAAGCCCAGGGCUUAACCUUGGAAUUGCACCCGAUACUGCAUGACUAGAGUAUGGUAGAGGGAAGUGGAAUUUCCGGUGUAGCGGUGAAAUGCGUAGAUAUCGGAAGGAACACCAGUGGCGAAGGCGACUUCCUGGGCCAAUACUGACACUGAGGUGCGAAAGCGUGGGGAGCAAACAGGAUUAGAUACCCCUGUAGUCC